rnacentral:other from 1 species
AUUUCCCUGCCACGCGCGUGAUGGAUUGAGAAUUUCUAACCAACACCAAUAAUACCGGGAACCUAACUUUGACUAGCCCUUGGGCUAUUCAAGAGGGUACCCACCUGAACAAAACAGGUUUCAAAUUUGUCGAUCCACACGGCGGCGGCGGGAUUAUU